ACCAUUUGCAUUCAAGCGUUAAGCGUUAAGCGAAAUUACGGUUUGUUUCCGGUUUUGAAAACAUGGGUUUGCCCAAUGAAAACUGUACGUUUGACAGGUCAAACUUGUACGUUUGACAUUUCAAUUUUCAAAACAACACUUCGCUGGGCGGGACUUAUUAAUACAGACUACAUUUGAAUAUUUGAUUUUAAACCAACAAAUGGAAAUUUUAAAACGAAUAAGUUUGGAAGAUCCUAUAUUAGUGGAAAACCUUUAUCAGAAGACUUUCGAGUAUUAAUCUUGGACACAAUUAUUGAGAAGGGAGGAGACAGUUUAACAGGUUAUAUUCCA